UACAGAGGUCCCAAGCGUUGUUCGGAUUCACUGGGCGUAAAGGGUGCGUAGGUGGCCAGGUAAGUUCGGUGUGAAAGCUCGGAGCUUAACUUCGAAAUGUCAUUGAAUACUAUCUGGCUAGAGGGUCGGAGGGGAGACUGGAAUUCUCGGUGUAGCGGUGAAAUGCGUAGAUAUCGGGAGGAACACCAGUGGCGAAGGCGACUACCUGGCCUGUUCUUGACGCUGAGGCGCGAAAGCUAGGGGAGCAAACGGG
rnacentral:rRNA from 1 species